rnacentral:tmRNA from 3 species
CAAUCUGUGACUAGCCGGCUAAAUUAAAUGAUAUGACUAAGUAUGUAGAACUUGUUGUAGAGGAUUUGCGGACGCGGGUUCGAUUCCCGCCGACUCCACAC